rfam:Hordeum vulgare subsp. vulgare, WGS project CAJW01000000 data, contig: morex_contig_160132
CAUAUACUCCCUCCGUCUGGAAUUACUUGCCGCGGAAAUGAAUAGAAAUGAAUGUAUCUAGAACUAAAAUACGUCUAGAUACAUUCAUCUCUUUGACAAGUAUUUCCGGACAGAGGGAGUAGCUC